CCUACGGGAGGCAGCAGUGGGGAAUAUUGCACAAUGGGGGAAACCCUGAUGCAGCGACGCCGCGUGAGUGAAGAAGUCAUUCGUUAUGUAAAGCUCUAUCUGCAGGGAAGAAAAUGACGGUACCUGAGUAAGAAGCCCCGGCUAACUACGUGCCAGCAGCCGCGGUAACACGUAGGGGGCAAGCGUUAUCCGGAUUUACUGGGUGUAAAGGGAGCGUAGACGGCAGUGCAAGUCUGGAGUGAAAGGCGCGGGCUCAACCCCCGGACUGCUGUGGAAACUGGACGGCUGGAGUGCGGGAGAGGGAAGUGGAAUUCGUAGUGUAGCGGUGAAAUGCGUAGAUAUUAGGAGGAACACCGGUGGCGAAGGCGGCUUACUGGACUGUAACUGACGUUGAGGCUCGAAAGCGUGGGGAGCGAACAGGAUUAGAUACCCGAGUAGUC
rnacentral:rRNA from 1 species